rnacentral:lncRNA from 1 species
AGACAGGCGAUAGAAGCCAGUAACAGAUUCCCAGUGAAGGAUACAGGGACGUAAUACCUAUAUAAGAGAGCCUGGUUGGGAGAUAAAGCUCGAAAGCUCAGGAGACGGAAUUGAAUGGAAGAUAUAGGGAUGGCAGUUGCCAGCUCUUCUUUCCGAUCUUGAUUGCUUUUCGGUCCAUUGUUCGAUUCUAUAGCUGAUGUAGCUUAACUCCAUCUCUCGUAUCGGCUAAUCAAUGAGUGGGGACAUGAGAAGUAGGGUUAGCUGCCCUCAGAACACUUUCU